rnacentral:rRNA from 1 species
GAGAUUGGGAGAGGGAUGCGGAAUUCCAGGUGUAGCGGUGAAAUGCGUAGAUAUCUGGAGGAACACCGGUGGCGAAGGCGGCAUCCUGGACCAACACUGACACUGAGGAGCGAAAGCCAGGGGAGCAAACGGGAUUAGAUACCCCGGUAGUCCUGGCCCUAAACGAUGAAUGCUUGGUGUGGCGGGUAUCGAUCCCUGCCGUGCCGAAGCUAACGCAUUAAGCAUUCCGCCUGGGGAGUACGGUCGCAAGGCUGAAACUCAAAUGAAUUGACGG